rnacentral:rRNA from 1 species
ACGCACGCUGGCGGUGUGCUUAACACAUGCAAGUCGAACGGUAAGGCCCUUUCGGGGGUACACGAGUGGCGAACGGGUGAGUAACACGUGAGUAACCUGCCCUCAUCUCUGGGAUAACAGUCGGAAACGGUUGCUAAUACUGGAUAUGAGCUUGCAAGGCAUCUUGUGGGUUGGAAAGAUUUUUUUUGGUUGGGGAUGGACUCGCGGCCUAUCAGCUUGUUGGUGAGGUAGUGGCUCACCAAGGCUUCGACGGGUAGCCGGCCUGAGAGGGCGACCGGCCACAUUGGGACUGAGAGACGGCCCAAACUCCUACGGGAGGCAGCAGUGGGGAAUAUUGCACAAUGGACGGAAGUCUGAUGCAGCAACGCCGCGUGCGGGAUGACGGCCUUCGGGUUGUAAACCGCUUUCAAUUGUGACGAAGCUUUUUUGUGACGGUAGCAGUAGAAGAAGCACCGGCUAACUACGUG